rnacentral:rRNA from 1 species
ACGCUGGCGGCAGGCCUAACACAUGCAAGUCGAGCGGAAACGACACUAACAAUCCUUCGGGUGCGUUAAUGGGCGUCGAGCGGCGGACGGGUGAGUAAUGCCUAGGAAAUUGCCUUGAUGUGGGGGAUAACCAUUGGAAACGAUGGCUAAUACCGCAUAAUGCCUACGGGCCAAAGAGGGGGACCUUCGGGCCUCUCGCGUCAAGAUAUGCCUAGGUGGGAUUAGCUAGUUGGUGAGGUAAUGGCUCACCAAGGCGACGAUCCCUAGCUGGUCUGAGAGGAUGAUCAGCCACACUGGAACUGAGACACGGUCCAGACUCCUACGGGAGGCAGCAGUGGGGAAUAUUGCACAAUGGGCGAAAGCCUGAUGCAGCCAUGCCGCGUGUAUGAAGAAGGCCUUCGGGUUGUAAAGUACUUUCAGUUGUGAGGAAGGGGGURKYGUUAAUAGCGYUAUCUCUUGACGUUAGCAACAGAAGAAGCACCGGCUAACUCCGUGCCAGCAGCCGCGGUAAUACGGAGGGUGCGAGCGUUAAUCGGAAUUACUGGGCGUAAAGCGCAUGCAGGUGGUUCAUUAAGUCAGAUGUGAAAGCCCGGGGCUCAACCUCGGAACUGCAUUUGAAACUGGUGAACUAGAGUACUGUAGAGGGGGGUAGAAUUUCAGGUGUAGCGGUGAAAUGCGUAGAGAUCUGAAGGAAUACCAGUGGCGAAGGCGGCCCCCUGGACA